CCGCUCUCCACCUCACCUGCCUGCGCGGCCCGGAGGCGGGAGGGAGUCUCUCAGAGGCUCCUCCUCCGAGGAUUGGUUCCCGGCCGCUCUGCUUCCGCAUCUCCCGCCAGUACUUUCAAUUUCCCUCCCGCCCUCAACUCCCAGGUCCCGUCCACGUCAGGCCGCGGCUCAGUCCCGGCCUACGGCCAGGUGGAGGCGUCACGGGCGAGCAUAGAGUACUGAGGUAGUGGCCAUCCUGCGGCGCACCGUGGCGGUCCCGCUAAGGCCUCAAGGAACCCGAUUCUGUCGGAAAAGACGCCAGGGCCGGGAGGGCCCGCCCCUGCGGGAGGAGCGCCGCUUCGGCUGGCAAGCUGACCAAUGGGAGGCGACGACGGCGGCACAACGUGGAGCUGCUGCAGAAUGUAAACACAGCCCGGCGCGCUGCGGGCCACGUGUGUCUCCGCGCGCCCCCCGUCGGGUCUGGGACCACCGGGGCCGGCCGCGGCACCCGAGGGCAGCCAUUCUCUGCAAUGCCUGUCUUGCACUUUGCUCCAGCCCGCCGACGGAGGGUUCACUCGCAGCUGGAGAGAUUGGACUGAAGUUGCAGGAGAGAAAGCUGCCCUCUGCUUUCCUGCAUCGGAGCCUCUGGAAGCCCCUGGAAGCCCAGUCCCCCAGAAACCUCCAGCUCUGGCAGGAACAUGGCCCCAGCUGAAGGAAGCUUGGUUUCUCUCUCUCCCUCUUUCUGUCAUUUCUUUUUCCUUCUUUCUUAUUUAGCUUGCAGGUGAGGGGCGAGGCUUGCGGAAGAGGCAUCCAGCCAAGGUUCCCUACUCACUUCCCUGUGAGAUCUCGUUUUGAUAAAGGUGACAGAGUCUGAAAGUUAGUAAAAGUAACCUCAUUUCCCUCUCCAUUUAUGUACUGCUUUUGAACUGGUCACAGCUCAGAACCUAGUUUUGUUUUUCUGCCUUUCUCUCAUGCCCCCUGUAUAGACCCUGCUGGCCCACCAAGGGUUCAUGGUGCAGGGAAUCUUGCCCCUGCCCCGGAGGAAUGACUCUACCAGACCUUCGAGAAGAUCGUGCCAUCGACUGGCCUUGCACAUCACUCUGUCUCUAUGAGUCGAGCCUGACCAAUGAGAGCACAAACCUCAACCUUACCCGUAAUCAGAGAAAUGCAGUGACAUGCCAUUUUUCAACCAUCCAAUAGGCAGGGAGAGAGAGAGAGAUCACUAAUAUUUUAUGCCGGCAAGAGGGUGAGAAAACGAGCGCUCAUACAUUGCUGCUAUAAAUAUGAAUUAUUACAUCUUGGGAAUGCAGCCUACUAUCUAUUAAAAUAAAAAAAUGCAGAGAUUACA
rnacentral:lncRNA from 1 species